rnacentral:rRNA from 1 species
UACGAAGGGGGCUAGCGUUGCUCGGAAUUACUGGGCGUAAAGCGCACGUAGGCGGGUCUUUAAGUCAGGGGUGAAAUCCUGGAGCUCAACUCCAGAACUGCCUUUGAUACUGCAAAUCUCGAGUCCGGAAGAGGUGAGUGGAAUUCCUAGUGUAGAGGUGAAAUUCGUAGAUAUUAGGAAGAACACCAGUGGCGAAGGCGGCUCACUGGUCCGGUACUGACGCUGAGGUGCGAAAGCGUGGGGAGCAAACA